rnacentral:rRNA from 1 species
GAUGAACGCUGGCGGCGUGCCUAAUACAUGCAAGUCGAGCGAACGGCCGAGAAGCUUGCUUUUCUGAUGUUAGCGGCGGAAGGGGGAGUAACACGUGGAUAACCUACCUAUAAGACUGGGAUAACUUCGGGAAACCGGAGCUAUUACCGGAUAAUAUUUUGAACCGCAUGGUUCAAAAGUGAAAGACGGUCUUGCUGUCACUUAUAGAUGGAUCCGCGCUGCAUUAGCUAGUUGGUAAGGUAACGGCUUACCAAGGCAACGAUGCAUAGCCGACCUGAGAGGGUGAUCGGCCACACUGGAACUGAGACACGGUCCAGACUCCUACGGGAGGCAGCAGUAGGGAAUCUUCCGCAAUGGGCGAAAGCCUGACGGAGCAACGCCGCGUGAGUGAUGAAGGUCUUCGGAUCGUAAAACUCUGUUAUUAGGGAAGAACAUAUGUGUAAGUAACUGUGCACAUCUUGACGGUACCUAAUCAGAAAGCCACGGCUAACUACGUG